rnacentral:rRNA from 1 species
GGGGAAUAUUGCGCAAUGGGGGAAACCCUGACGCAGCAACGCCGCGUGCGGGAUGAAGGCCUUCGGGUUGUAAACCGCUUUCAGCAGGGACGAAGGGUUUCUGACGGUACCUGCAGAAGAAGCACCGGCUAACUACGUGCCAGCAGCCGCGGUAAUACGUAGGGUGCGAGCGUUGUCCGGAAUUACUGGGCGUAAAGAGCUCGUAGGUGGUUUGUCGCGUCGUCUGUGAAAUUCCGGGGCUUAACUCCGGGCGUGCAGGCGAUACGGGCAUAACUUGAGUGCUGUAGGGGAGACUGGAAUUCCUGGUGUAGCGGUUAAAUGCGCAGAUAUCAGGAGGAACACCGAUGGCGAAGGCAGGUCUCUGGGCAGUAACUGACGCUGAGGAGCGAAAGCAUGGGUAGCGAACA